UCCUGGUUAGCUCGGUUGGUAGAACGCUCCACCGAAAGUGACGAGGUCCCUGGUUCGAUACCUGGACCGGGCG
rnacentral:tRNA from 1 species